rnacentral:misc_RNA from 1 species
CAAAUCAGGCGGUUAAAAUGGCUGGUCCGGCUGCUGUCCGCUCCGAAUCGUCGAAUUCACUUCUGGAAGGUGCGAACACCGCAGCCGUGAUCGUAUGGUAGCGACACGCGUGCAGACAAAGUAGCACAUACACAAACGACUAUUUUCUACGCUUUCUCCUUGCCUCCGUCUCUCGGCCGCUCUUGGGGGAUGUGUCUAGGCUAAAGGAAUCUGCGAGUGUGGGAGUCGGAGAACCGAACAGGCGAAACUUCCGCCGAAAGGCAGAAGGGUUAAAUAGGAAGUACGUAUGUAUACGUAGCAGAGAAUCGUGCGUGGAAAUUGGGAGCUUUUGGUACGUGGACACCACUCGGAGCCAGCGAAGGCGCACACGCUGUCACGACGUGCAGAACCGUGUCGUUUCCGGACAAGCGUGCAUAAAGACGAAAUAUCGAAAAGGAUCGGUGUCUCUGGAAAUGGAACUGGAGAAGCGUCGCGAGCGUCGAAAAGACUCGGCUAGGAAUGAUUCGCGACGUGGGAGGCCGCGGGCGCGCAGUUCCGUCGCCUCUUUCUCCCACUCUUCUCAACGGCAGUACCUCCUUCGUCCCUUUCCUCGUAUCCGAUACAUGCGUACCCACGACCGUAC